rnacentral:rRNA from 1 species
GACGAACGCUGGUGGCGUGCCUAAUACAUGCAAGUCGAGCGGACCAAUAGAAGCUUGCUUCUGUUGGUUAGCGGCGGACGGGUGAGUAACACGUGGGAAACCUGCCUGUAAGACUGGGAUAACUUCGGGAAACCGGAGCUAAUACCGGAUAAUUCAUCCCCUCGCAUGAGGGGAUGCUGAAAGUCGGUUUACGCUGACACUUACAGAUGGGCCCGCGGCGCAUUAGCUAGUUGGUGAGGUAAUGGCUCACCAAGGCGACGAUGGGUAGCCGACCUGAGAGGGUGAUCGGCCACACUGGGACUGAGACACGGCCCAGACUCCUACGGGAGGCAGCAGUAGGGAAUCUUCCACAAUGGACGAAAGUCUGAUGGAGCAACGCCGCGUGAGCGAUGAAGGCCUUCGGGUCGUAAAGCUCUGUUGUUAGGGAAGAACAAGUAUCGGAGUAACUGCCGGUACCUUGACGGUACCUAACCAGAAAGCCACGGCUAACUACGUGCCAGCCGCCGCGGUAA